UAGGAUGUAGUAGAUUUAUGAUUGAGGG
rnacentral:piRNA from 1 species